UAGGGAAUUUUGCGCAAUGGACGAAAGUCUGACGCAGCAACGCCGCGUGAGUGAUGAAGGUCUUCGGAUUGUAAAGCUCUGUUGAGUGGGAAGAAAAUCUUUGGGAAUAAUACCCCAAAGUCUGACGGUACCACUUGAGGAAGCCCCGGCUAACUACGUGCCAGCAGCCGCGGUAAUACGUAGGGGGCAAGCGUUGUUCGGAAUCACUGGGUGUAAAGGGAGCGUAGGCGGAAGGAUAAGUUAGAAGUUUAAUGUACGGGCUUAACUCGUAACCUGCUUCUAAUACUGUUUUUCUUGAGUAUGGGAGAGGGAGAUGGAAUUCCAGGUGUAGCGGUGGAAUGCGUAGAUAUCUGGAAGAACACCAGCUGCGAAGGCGGUCUCCUGGCCCAAUACUGACGCUGAGGCUCGAAAGCUAGGGGAGCAAACAGG
rnacentral:rRNA from 1 species